rnacentral:rRNA from 1 species
UACGUAGGGGGCAAGCGUUGUCCGGAUUUAUUGGGCGUAAAGAGCUCGUAGGCGGUUCGGUAAGUCGGGUGUGAAACCUCCAGGCUCAACCUGGAGACGCCACCCGAUACUGCUGUGACUAGAGUCCGGUAGGGGAGCGUGGAAUUCCUGGUGUAGCGGUGAAAUGCGCAGAUAUCAGGAGGAACACCAGCGGCGAAGGCGGCGCUCUGGGCCGGAACUGACGCUGAGGAGCGAAAGCGUGGGGAGCGAACAGG